rnacentral:lncRNA from 1 species
GAGGGGUCCGGACAACUCAUUUUUUUCAUGUGCUGAUCCUGCAUGUCAUUAGUAUCCUCAUAUAUAAAUAUUUUGCGAUUACCCAGACCAUCUGGCAACGAGGCUGCGAGGAAAUCUUAAUGAUAUUGGACAUAUUGUUUUUCCCGGUGUACAAGGUAGAGUUGAAAGAUGCAAGUGGUGUUUCUGAUCACUUUCCUUUUGGUCUCAGCUCACUGCACACCAGUACGAGAAUAUCAUUCUGGAAUUCGCGAUGAUUACUUCUUAAACUGGAUGAGGCUCCAUCAAAGAAUGAAAACAUAUAGACUAUUACCGCAUCACUUGUACAUUCAGAGGUUAUAUGAAUUCUUGAAUGCCUGUUGGAAACCACCGAUCAACAGAGCGACUACCAGAGCCCCCAUGCUGCCGUCACCACCGAGAACAGAAAUUGCUCCUCCUCUGACUCCGAGGCCCCCAGGCCCUUUCACCCCAGACAGACGGGGAGACACGUGAUUCAUGAAGUUCUGCAGGGAUUUCAGAGCGAAAGGCAGCUUCUUCCCCCGCAUCCACACCACAGCUGACGAUCCAACACAGCAGCUCUCUGCUCCGUGUCCCACAAGGGACCCUCUUCUGUAUCCUGGCUAAAAUGGCACUUCAUUAAAAAUGUUUCUGUCACUACGAUAUUCCCAAGUGGAAUGAUAUUUCCCAUCAUUAUCAGCCUUUAAAGAGAGAUGGGGAAAACGAGCAAAGGAAUCGAGGGAACAGGAUCUCUUUUUUCCUGGGAAGCCCUAGGCGUAGCUAAAAAUCAAGAGGUCCUAUGACAAAGGAAGAGGGCAAGAGGAUACUGGGGUGGUGGUGGGUGACAGGACUGUCUCCAGGUGACAUCCAAGCCCUUGAGAGACCACUGGGAUGUUUCCAGCAAGAGGAGAUGGUAUUCUGACCCUUUUAACUGGGACAGAAAUUUGAUGAAGCUCAGGGGAAAUGCACCUAAAAUUUCCCCUUGUCUUAUUUGGGAGGCAGAGUUAGCAGUUUCUCCCUAAUCACAGAUGUGCAAAGAAAAGGG